UAGGGAAUCUUCCGCAAUGGACGCAAGUCUGACGGAGCAACGCCGCGUGAGUGAAGAAGGAUUUCGGUUCGUAAAACUCUGUUGUUAGAGAAGAACAGCGCAUAGAGUAACUGUUAUGCGUGUGACGGUAUCUAACCAGAAAGCCACGGCUAACUACGUGCCAGCAGCCGCGGUAAUACGUAGGUGGCAAGCGUUGUCCGGAUUUAUUGGGCGUAAAGCGAGCGCAGGCGGUCAAUUAGGUCUGAUGUGAAAGCCCCCGGCUAAACCGGGGAGGGUCAUUGGAAAUUGGUGGACUUAAGUGCAGAAGAGGAGAGUGGAAUUCCAGUUGUAGCGGUGAAAUGCGUAGGUAUAUGGAGGAACACCAGUGGAGAAGGCGACUCUCUGGUCUGUAACUGACGCUGAGGCUCGAAAGCGUGGGUAGCAAACAGG
rnacentral:rRNA from 1 species